UGGGGAAUUUUGGACAAUGGGGGAAACCCUGAUCCAGCCAUCCCGCGUGUGCGAUGAAGGCCUUCGGGUUGUAAAGCACUUUUGGCAGGAAAGAAACGUCAUGGGUUAAUACCCCGUGAAACUGACGGUACCUGCAGAAUAAGCACCGGCUAACUACGUGCCAGCAGCCGCGGUAAUACGUAGGGUGCAAGCGUUAAUCGGAAUUACUGGGCGUAAAGCGUGCGCAGGCGGUUCGGAAAGAAAGAUGUGAAAUCCCAGAGCUCAACUUUGGAACUGCAUUUUUAACUACCGGGCUAGAGUGUGUCAGAGGGAGGUGGAAUUCCGCGUGUAGCAGUGAAAUGCGUAGAUAUGCGGAGGAACACCGAUGGCGAAGGCAGCCUCCUGGGAUAACACUGACGAUCAUGCACGAAAGCGUGGGGAGCAAACAGG
rnacentral:rRNA from 1 species